UAAAAAAAGAUUAAAAAGUGGGUCAGUUUAUGACUGUCUAGUUUUUAUAUUAUUUAAUGUGAAUAGGAUCGAGUUACUUACAGAUAGGAGUCCAUUUACAGAGGUUAUGUUCACAAUUCUUGGCGAUUUCGAGCGUUGGAGAAGAGGAACAAGUGCCUCUUUAUCAAGAAUAAUAACACCUUUUAUAUGUGAAAUCUAACAAGAGAAAAGCUAGAUUGGAAUGAAAGUAAGUAGGCUGGUCUAAAUAUUGUUCACAUAAUUACUUACUUCUCCUUUUGCAUUGUA
rnacentral:lncRNA from 1 species